rnacentral:rRNA from 1 species
AUUGAACGCUGGCGGCAGGCCUAACACAUGCAAGUCGAGCGGAGUGGCGGACGGGCGAGUAAUGCCUAGGAAUCUGCCUGACAGUGGGGGAUAACGUACGGAAACGGGCGCUAAUAUAGCACACUAUCAGAUGAGCCUAGGUCGGAUUAGCUAGCUGGAGGGGUAAAGGCCUACCAAGGCGACGAUCCGUAACUGGACUGCGAGGAUGAUCAGUCACACUGGAACUGAGACACGGUCCAGACUCCUACGGGAGGCAGCAGUGGGGAAUAUUGGGCAAUGGGCGAAAGCCUGACGCAGCCAUGCCGCGUGUGUGAAGAAGGUCUUCGGAUUGUAAAGCGCUUUAAGUUGGGAGGCGUUACCAACAGAAUAAGCACCGGCUAACUACGUGCCAGCAGCCGCGGUAAUAC